AUCAAGAUUUCAACUCCACAUGCAGCUUCUAUAAUUCUUGAUCCAUUUCCACCAUCACAGUCUUUCUUUAACCAGAGUUGGAGCUCGGUUAUACUUCCUUUGCUUCAAUUUUUGUCAAAAACUGGGUCUCCGUUGAUGAUGAAUCUUUACCCUUACUAUGUUUUUAUGCAAAACAAAGGAGUGGUACCCCUUGAUAAUUCUCUGUUCAAGCCCUUGACACCAUCAAAAGAAAUGGUGGAUCCUAAUACUUUGUUGCAUUACACUAAUGUGCUUGAUGCGAUGAUUGAUGCUGCAUAUUUUUCUAUGAAGAAUCUGAAUAUUACUGAUGUUGUGGUUCUUGUCACUGAGACUGGCUGGCCUUCAAAGGGUGAUUCAAAAGAGCCUUACGCUACCAUUGACAAUGCAGACGCCUAUAAUUCUAAUUUGAUUAAGCAUGUUCUUGAUCGUAGUGGGACUCCUUUUCAUCCAGAAGUCACUUCCAGUGUGUAUAUGUAUGAAUUGUUCAAUGAGGACUUGAGGUCACCGCCAGUAUCAGAAGCAAAUUGGGGAUUGUUCUAUGGGAAUUCGACACCAGUUUAUUUGCUUCAUGUUUAUGGAAGUGGGACUUUUUUGGCUAAUGAUACAACAAACCAAACGUAUUGUAUUGCAAUGGAUGGUGUUGAUUCAAGGACA
rnacentral:misc_RNA from 1 species